rnacentral:lncRNA from 1 species
GAGAGCAUUGGGACGUACCCCAACUCUCACCAUACGGGCUGAAAUCAUCUCUGACAGGGAAAAUGUUUAUAACUGAGAACUAUAAAAGGGGAAAUGCUGGUUAUGAAUAUUCUAAUUAUUUAGAUGUUUUAUAUAAAUAUGCCUGUUAAUAUGCAUAUUUUACAGCACGUAUGAAAACAUAUUUUUCCCAGAUUGUAAAAUAAAACAAUCCUCCAUUUAACAGAGAAACUGUUUGUUUCUCUUCAUUUAAAAAAAAUGUUUCUGUUUUUUAGUUUUAUUUUUGUACUCUAAAAAAUCCUGAAAAUAAAACCAGAAAAAUGAAAAUAUCCUAAUCUGUGCCUGUCUGCCUGGCGGCAUGUGGGUGGCGGCAUCGUGGUGCGGCCACGCUCGACAUGUCUGGUCCUUUAUGAUGCUGCCAGGAACGAGAAUUAGGACACAAACAGAAGCUAAACAUAUUAGUCAUUUAGCAGACGCUCUUAUCCACACCACUUACGGAGCAAAUCAGGUUAAAGUGCCUUUGCUCUCAAGGGCACGUUGACAUCUUUCACCUAGUGUCUCGGGUUACUGGCCCAACAGGCUUCACCGCUGGCUAACCCACCACCCACAGAAUGGCUCAAUAAAUAGGUUCUGGGUUAUAGUUGGGUUCAUUUAGGUUAUAGCUUGGUUGUAUUGUGUCCUUAUUGUGUUUCCUUAUGUGUGUCCUUAUUGGUUUCUCUGUAUGCCAGGGAGGAUGUACUGCGCUGUGAUCAGCUUAUUAUGGAGAGGAGCAGGGAGGAUUCUUUGUGCUGUGAUCCAGCUUAUAUGGAGAGGAGCAGGGAGGAUAUCUGUACGCGCGUGACCAGCUUAUUAUGGAGAGGAGCAGGGAGAUAUCUGUGUGUGUGAUCCAGCUUAUUAUGGAGAGGAGCAGGAGGAUACUGUAGCGCUGUGAUCCAGCUUAUUAUGGAGGGAGCAGGAGAUAUCUUUGUGCUGAAUCCAGCUUAUUAUGAGAGAGCAGGGAGGAUAUCUGUACGCGCUGUGAUCCAGCUUAUUAUGGAGAGGAGCAGGGAGGAUAUCUGUACGCGCUGUGAUCCAGCUUAUUAUGGAGAGGAGCAGGGAGGAUAUCUGUACGUGCUGUCAUCCUCUUAUUGCUGUGCUGUCAUGGAGAGAGCAGAGAUGAAGCUACGGAACACCUCUGUGAAAGACCCACACUGUAUUUCUCUGUUUCUUCAUCUCUAUCCUCCGCUCCGAUGGCUGGACCGUACUAACUCUCUCUUUCUCCUUUCUCCCUUCACCCUGCCCUCUCAUCCCUCUCUUUCUCUCUCAUCCUCCACCUAUCCCCUUCACCCUGCCUCCCAUCCCCUCCUCCUCGCCCCUUCACCCUGCCGUCUCCAUCCCUAUCUUUCUCCUUUCCUCCCUCUCUCCUCGUCCCUCAGCCUGCCUCGUCCAUUCCCUUCGCGUUGCCCCUUUUCUCUUCUCCCCUCUCUCCUCAUCCCUUCACCCUGCCUCUCCAUCCCUCUUUUCUCCUUCAUCCCUCUCCCUCCGUCCCCUUCAGCCGGCCUCUCCAUCCCUCUUUCGCCUUCAUCCCUCUCUCCUCGGCCCCUUCACCGGCCUCUCCAGCCCUCUCUCCUCGUCCUUCACCCUGCCUCGCCAUCCUUCUCCGCGUCCCUUUCACCCUGCCUCUCCAUCCCCGUCUCCUCUCCCUUCACCCUGCCUCUCAUCCUACUUCUCCGUCUCCCCUCUUCCCCUCGUCCCCUUCACCCUGCCUCUCCAUCCCUCUCUUUCUCCUUUCAUCAUCCCCUCUCCUCGUCCCCUUCACCCUGCAUCNGAAUUGUGAUUACCGUGAAUUAUAAGUGGAAAUAA